AGCUUUGAACAGUGGCAGUAUCGUAGCCGAUGAAGUUUAAAUGAGACAUGAUUAUUGCUUAUUGAAAAAUAUGAAUUGACAGCAAAAAUGGAUGUGAACAGCAUCAUUGAGUUUCCAUUCUGAUGAUAUGCUUGCAUG